rnacentral:lncRNA from 1 species
CCAUGCUUCUGUGUGAAUAUCUCUUGCUUUGUUCAGAGAGGUUGUACAUUGUAUUACAGGGCUCCCUUCCUUAACAAGCAAAAAUUCAGCUUUUUUAUGGUUAUUGUAUUUGAAUACUUGUAUCUUUCUUAGACGAACUGAAAAUAUGAAUAUGUGGAUAAAUCUAAAUGAAUACUGGCUAUAUGAAAUACGAACAAAAGACAAACCACAAUGGAAAUUUAAAACUGUCUUGCCUUUCUGCCCCUGGACGCCGCCGAAGAAGCAUCAUUAAAGUCUCUCUUCUCCCGGCCGUCUUGUCUAACUCAGAGUCUCCUAAAGAGCCCAAACAGUUGAGGAAGCUCUUCCUUGGACGGUUGAGCUUAGAAACAAGCAACGAGAGCCUGAGAAGCCAUUUUGAGCAAUGAGGAAUGCUCAUGGACUGUGUGGUAAUGAGAUCCAAAUACCAAGCACUCCAGGGGCUUUGGGUUUGUCUCACAUGCCACUGCGGAGAAGGUGGAUGCAGCCAUGAAUGCAAGGCCACAAAAGGUGGAUG